rnacentral:rRNA from 1 species
AUGCCCCUCUGCUUCGUGCUGGUCUUCGUGGCUGUCAGGGGCAAACCAUGCAAUCAGAACAUCCACAUGGUCCUCCACCCUCUCCCCCAGGGUGUCGCGAAUCACCCUAGGCACGGGGGCUAUCACGGCCUCGAAGUUGAAGUCGGGGUCGGAACGAAGGAGAUGACCAAAGAUGCGCAUCGACGCCUGCACAAGGAGGUCACAGAUUUCCUCUUCCACGAGCUUGCCCACCUUCUUCGCACCUCCCUCGACCCGCUCCACGAUCCUAGUGAAGAAGGCGACGUAGCUUGCGUCAUCGGGCACGAGCGGGCUGGAGACACUCUCCUUACAGAUGGAGUUUAG